ACCUAUGGCCAUACUUCACUGAGCAUACCCCUUCUUGUCUGAUAACAGAAGCUAAGCAGGGUUGGACCUAAAAUAGUACUUGGAUGAAAGACUGUGUGGAAAUACAGAAUUAGAUAAACUGGACAGCUAUGCAUG
rnacentral:rRNA from 1 species